rnacentral:rRNA from 1 species
GCGCAGCAGUCGAGAAUCCUCCGCGAUGCUCGAAAGAGCGACGGGGGGACUCCAAGUGCCUACGCUCAGCGUAGGCUGUUCCCGAGCCUAAAAAGCUCGGGGAGUAAGGGCUGGGUAAGACGGGUGCCAGCCGCCGCGGUAAUACCCGCAGCCCGAGUGGUGGCCGCUAUUAUUGGGCCUAAAGCGUCCGUAGCCGGCUCGGUAAAUGCCUGGGUAAAUCGUCUGGCCCAACCAGACGAAUUCCGGGUAGACUGCCGGGCUAGGGACCGGAGGAGGGAGAGGGUACUCCAGGGGUAGGGGUGAAAUCAGCAAGGUGAGUUGCUGAUGUAACUUGCCUUGCAAGUCACAAUCCUGUAAUCCCUGGAGGACCACCGGUGGCGAAGGCGCUCUCCUAGGACGGGUCCGACGGUGAGGGACGAAAGCCAGGGGAGCAAACCGGAUUAGAUACCGGU